UGUCUGUACAUGUAUCAAAACCCUGCCCCGCUGCUCUGAGAGGACAGAGGAAGACCAAGGCAGGACCACUGACCUAUCUUCAGAUCAAAGAACAAGUGGUGUGAUUCCCAUGUCUGUGGAAACCCCGGGAUGAUGGAGUGUGUGUUAGAUCUGGAAACUAAGGACUUUUCUCAAGAGUGGGAUGGUGGAGAAAGAAUUUUGGAGUCUGGAGAAGAGGAUAAAGGAAAGAACAGAACAUAUACAUAAGCAUUGGAAAGAUGCUACUACAUGUACACAUGUGAAAUUACUUGUAAGACAAAUGUAUUCUCUGAAUGUUACAUACUCAAUCAACAGAGCUAACACCUCAAAACAGAGAGGAAGAAAAGAGAAUGGAUUGGAACUCCUCUCACCCCAGGAAGCAACCAGCCUAUUUGGAGAAACACAGGCUGAGAUGUUAGCAACUGAAGUAAAAAAGCAACGUAAUGUUUGUAUUGCUUGAUCAACUUUGCAGGCCUAAAGCUGGUGUCUGAGCGUUUAUUUAGAGAAUAACAAUAUGCAAUAUAACAACUAUGGGCACUACCUUCUGCCUUGUUUUUGAAAUCCAAUAUUGUUCUGUUUCAUUAUGUUGUUUUAUUGUUUU
ensembl:lincRNA